GUAGGGAAUAUUGGGCAAUGGAGGCAACUCUGACCCAGCCAUGCCGCGUGCAGGAUGACGGCCCUCUGGGUUGUAAACUGCUUUUAUACGGGAAGAAAAAAUACUACGUGUAGUAUACUGACGGUACCGUAAGAAUAAGGAUCGACUAACUCCGUGCCAGCAGCCGCGGUAAUACGGAGGAUCCAAGCGUUGUCCGGAUUUAUUGGGUUUAAAGGGUGCGUAGGCGGAUCUUUAAGUCAGUGGUGAAAGCCUGCAGCUUAACUGUAGAAUUGCCAUUGAAACUGAAGAUCUUGAAUGUGGUUAAAGUAGGCGGAAUGUAUCAUGUAGCGGUGAAAUGCUUAGAUAUGAUACAGAACACCGAUAGCGAAGGCAGCUUGCUGAACCAUUAUUGACGCUGAGGCACGAAAGCGUGGGGAGCGAACAGGAUUAGAUACCCGUGUAGUCC
rnacentral:rRNA from 1 species